GCUACCCCAGGUCAGGUGGGACUACCCGCUGAGUUUAAGCA
rnacentral:rRNA from 1 species